rnacentral:pre_miRNA from 1 species
UGACUGUACCUCAGCAGGUAGAGCUACUACCUGCUGAGGUAGAGUCACC